UACGUAGGGUGCAAGCAUUAAUCGGAAUUAUUGGGCGUAAAGGGCGCGUAGGCGGUUAUGUAAGUCAGAUGUGAAAUUCCGGGGCUCAACCUCGGAGCUGCAUUUGAAACUACAAGACUAGAGGGUUGACGGAGAAAACGGAAUUCCACGUGUAGCGGUGAAAUGCGUAGAUAUGUGGAAGAACACCAGUGGCGAAAGCGGUUUU
rnacentral:rRNA from 1 species